rnacentral:rRNA from 1 species
AACAAACGCUGGCGGCGUGCCUAAUACAUGCAAGUCGAACGGGGAAAGCUUUCGGGUGAGUACUGGUGGCGCACGGGCGAGUAACGCGUGGAUAAUCUGCCUUAGAGUGGGGGAUAACUAGUCGAAAGAUUAGCUAAUACCGCAUAAGACCACAAGAACUGCGGUUCAAGGGGUCAAAGGUUUUUCGCUCUAAGAUGAGUCCGCGUAAGAUUAGCUAGUUGGUAGGGUAACGGCCUACCAAGGCGACGAUCUUUAACUGGUCUGAGAGGAUGAUCAGUCACACUGGAACUGAGACACGGUCCAGACGCCUACGGGAGGCAGCAGUAGGGAAUAUUGCGCAAUGGAGGAAACUCUGAUGCAGCGACGCCGCGUGAGUGAUGAAGGCCUUCGGGUCGUAAAGCUCUGUCGCAGGGGAAUAACACAAUGAAGGUACCCUGUAAGAAAGGAUCGGCUAACUUCGUGCCAGCCGCCGCGGUAAAAC